rnacentral:rRNA from 1 species
GUCUUCGAGUCGUUGAUUUCACACUGCCGAGAAAAGCCUCUAGAUAGAAAAUAGGUGCCCGUACCGCAAACCGACACAGGUAGUCAAGAUGAGAAUUCUAAGGUGAGCGAGCGAACUCUCGUUAAGGAACUCGGCAAAAUGACCCCGUAACUUCGGGAGAAGGGGUGCUCUUUAGGGUUAACGCCCAGAAGAGCCGCAGUGAAUAGGCCCAAGCGACUGUUUAUCAAAAACACAGGUCUCUGCUAAACCGUAAGGUGAUGUAUAGGGGCUGACGCCUGCCCGGUGCUGGAAGGUUAAGAGGAGUGGUUAGCUUCUGCGAAGCUACGAAUCGAAGCCCCAGUAAACGGCGGCCGUAACUAUAACGGUCCUAAGGUAGCGAAAUUCCUUGUCGGGUAAGUUCCGACCCGCACGAAAGGCGUAACGAUUUGGGCACUGUCUCAACGAGAGACUCGGUGAAAUCAUAGUACCUGUGAAGAUGCAGGUUACCCGCGACAGGACGGAAAGACCCCGUGGAGCUUUACUGUAGCCUGAUAUUGAAAUUCGGCACAGCUUGUACAGGAUAGGUAGGAGCCUUUGAAACGUGAGCGCUAGCUUACGUGGAGGCGCUGGUGGGAUACUACCCUAGCUGUGUUGGCUUUCUAACCCGCACCACUUAUCGUGGUGGGAGACAGUGUCAGGCGGGCAGUUUGACUGGGGCGGUCGCCUCCUAAAAGGUAACGGAGGCGCUCAAAGGUUCCCUCAGAAUGGUUGGAAAUCAUUCAUAGAGUGUAAAGGCAUAAGGGAGCUUGACUGCGAGACCUACAAGUCGAGCAGGGUCGAAAGACGGACUUAGUGAUCCGGUGGUUCCGCAUGGAAGGGCCAUCGCUCAACGGAUAAAAGCUACCCCGGGGAUAACAGGCUUAUCUCCCCCAAGAGUUCACAUCGACGGGGAGGUUUGGCACCUCGAUGUCGGCUCAUCGCAUCCUGGGGCUGUAGUCGGUCCCAAGGGUUGGGCUGUUCGCCCAUUAAAGCGGUACGCGAGCUGGGUUCAGAACGUCGUGAGACAGUUCGGUCCCUAUCCGUCGUGGGCGUAGGAAAUUUGAGAGGAGCUGUCCUUAGUACGAGAGGACCGGGAUGGACAUACCUCUGGUGUACCAGUUGUCGUGCCAACGGCAUAGCUGGGUAGCUAUGUGUGGACGGGAUAAGUGCUGAAAGCAUCUAAGCAUGAAGCCCCCCUCAAGAUGAGAUUUCCCAACUUCGGUUAUAAGAUCCCUCAAAGAUGAUGAGGUUAAUAGGUUCGAGGUGGAAGCAUGGUGACAUGUGGAGCUGACGAAUAC